GCCUAGUUAGCUUAGUUGGUAGUGCGUCUGCCUUGUAAGCGCUAGGCUAGGCCGCGGGUUCGAUUCCCGCCCGGGGCG
rfam:Asian citrus Psyllid, Diaphorina citri - Florida Strain, whole genome shotgun sequence.